rnacentral:rRNA from 1 species
GAUGAACGCUAGCUACAGGCUUAACACAUGCAAGUCGAGGGGAAACGGCAUUGAGUGCUUGCACUCUUUGGACGUCGACCGGCGCACGGGUGAGUAACGCGUAUCCAACCUUCCCAUUACUGUGGGAUAACCUGCCGAAAGGCAGACUAAUACCGCAUAGUCUUCGAUGACGGCAUCAGAUUUGAAGUAAAGAUUUAUCGGUAAUGGAUGGGGAUGCGUCUGAUUAGCUUGUUGGCGGGGUAACGGCCCACCAAGGCUACGAUCAGUAGGGGUUCUGAGAGGAAGGUCCCCCACAUUGGAACUGAGACACGGUCCAAACUCCUACGGGAGGCAGCAGUGAGGAAUAUUGGUCAAUGGACGGAAGUCUGAACCAGCCAAGUAGCGUGCAGGAUGACGGCCCUAUGGGUUGUAAACUGCUUUUGUAUGGGGAUAAAGUUAGGGACGUGUCCCUAUUUGCAGGUACCAUACGAAUAAGGACCGGCUAAUUCCGUGCCAGCAGCCGCGGUAAUACGUAGGUCCCGAGCGUUGUCCGGAUUUAUUGGGCGUAAAGCGAGCGCAGGCGGUUUGAUAAGUCUGAAGUUAAAGGCUGUGGCUCAACCAUAGUUCGCUUUGGAAACUGUCAAACUUGAGUGCAGAAGGGGAGAGUGGAAUUCCAUGUGUAGCGGUGAAAUGCGUAGAUAUAUGGAGGAACACCGGUGGCGAAAGCGGCUCUCUGGUCUGUAACUGACGCUGAGGCUCGAAAGCGUGGGGAGCGAACAGG